rnacentral:rRNA from 1 species
UACGUAGGGUGCGAGCGUUGUCCGGAAUUAUUGGGCGUAAAGGGCUCGUAGGCGGUUUGUCGCGUCGGGAGUGAAAACACCGGGCUUAACUCGGUGCUUGCUUUCGAUACGGGCAGACUAGAGGUAUGCAGGGGAGAACGGAAUUCCUGGUGUAGCGGUGAAAUGCGCAGAUAUCAGGAGGAACACCAGCGGCGAAGGCGGCGCUCUGGGCCGGUACUGACGCUGAGGAGCGAAAGCGUGGGUAGCAAACAGG